GACGAACGCUGGCGGCGUGCUUAACACAUGCAAGUCGAACGGAAAGGCCCUGCUUUUGUGGGGUGCUCGAGUGGCGAACGGGUGAGUAACACGUGAGUAACCUGCCCUUGACUUUGGGAUAACUUCAGGAAACUGGGGCUAAUACCGGAUAGGAGCUCCUGCUGCAUGGUGGGGGUUGGAAAGUUUCGGCGGUUGGGGAUGGACUCGCGGCUUAUCAGCUUGUUGGUGGGGUAGUGGCUUACCAAGGCCUUGACGGGUAGCCGGCCUGAGAGGGUGACCGGCCACAUGGGGACUGAGAUACGGCCCAGACUCCUACGGGAGGCAGCAGUGGGGAAUAUUGCACAAUGGGCGGAAGCCUGAUGCAGCAACGCCGCGUGCGGGAUGACGGCCUUCGGGUUGUAAACCGCUUUCGCCUGUGACGAAGCGUGAGUGACGGUAAUGGGGAAAGAAGCACCGGCUAACUACGU
rnacentral:rRNA from 1 species